CCGCUUCUAUAAUGAGUUUCAAGUUGGACCCCAAAAGCUGGCAUUACCACAACAGACUCUUUUACAACAGACUUCCAAAACAUUAAUUUGACAAGGAUUGCACUUAAAAGAAAGCUCCAGAAAAUAAUGCUGAUUGAUAUAUCCUUGACUAGAAAGAGACAAAGGCCAUUUGCUAAAACAACAAAAGCUGAUAUGCAUACAAAGAAACCUUUUGCAUUGCUCUUCC
rnacentral:misc_RNA from 1 species